rnacentral:lncRNA from 1 species
CGUCACCAGCUUGCCGCCCUCCGGCACGUCCUUGUUGCGGUAGGCCAGGAUGGACAGCCACGCCAGCACCGCGAACAGGCCGUCCUUCUCGCGGAUGUGGUCGCCGCCCGUGCCGAACGACUCCUCACCGCACACAGAGCACUUGCCUGCGUGAAAGGGUUGGGGUGGGUGGGUGGAUUGGUUGGCGGAUGGAGCAAGGUUUGAUGAAGACGGCAAGCAGGUGAUCAGCCCUUCCUCCAGGUUCCAGACGCGACAAGGAAACAAUACAACGCCGUACAACGGCAUGCACACCCACACCCACAGGGACACACAUACCCAUGCACACACCCACAGGGACACACACACACACACACGCCCACGCCCUCCCCCCAACGCAAACGUGCACACACGCACCCGCGUCCAUCAGGUUGCCAAAGAACUUCCAGCCGGUGGGCGUCUCAAAGAACGGCACAUUGAGCGCAGCGGCCACACGGUCCAGAGCGCCCGAGGUGGGCAUGGAGCGGGCAACACCCUGGGGUGGGCAGGCGGGGUGGGGGGUUACAUUCAUGACUAGUUAAGGAAGUGUAGACGGUAGACGUUGGUGGCGUUCGGGGCGGGGUUGGGAGGAGGUAGCGGCCGGGGAAGUGUCGAAAGACGUGGCAAAGGCAGCAUCCCGUGUGAGCCACGAGUGUGAGUAGGCUGCUCCAAUCAGCCCCUCCCGCCAGCCCGCACCAUCCCUGCGCCCCGCCCUUUCGCUGCCCCCCGCCCCUCACUAUUGCUCGUCGCGCUCCCCGCCCCGCCCUCCUACAGACUCCCAGCCCAGCCGCCCGCCUUUAGCCCUCCCGCCCUCCCUCAUCACCCCCACCUUGAGGCCGCCCUUGAAGUAGGGGAUGCAGGCCUGGGCGUUGGCGGCGAUGAGCGCCACCGAGUCGCUGGGGUUCACAAAGAACUUGUGGCCCAGCACCAUGUUG